rnacentral:rRNA from 1 species
UACGGGGGGGGCAAGCGUUGUUCGGAAUUACUGGGCGUAAAGGGCUCGUAGGUGGCCAAUUAAGUCAGACGUGAAAUCCCCAGGCUCAACCUGGGAACUGCGUCUGAUACUGGUUGGCUUGAAUUCGGGAGAGGGAUGCAGAAUUCCAGGUGUAGCGGUGAAAUGCGUAGAUAUCUGGAGGAAUACCGGUGGCGAAGGCGGCUCCCUGGUCCAUUACUGACGCUGAGGUGCGAAAGCGUGGGGAGCAAACAGG